GUCUUCUUGGUAUUAUAAGAAGUCGGUCCUGUUCACUGAUUAUUUAAAGAACUGCGGUAUAUUGACCGUGCAAAGGUAGCAUAAUCAUUAGUUUUUUAAUUGAAAGCUUGUAUGAAUGGUUUGACGAGAUUUUAUCUGUCUCUUAUAUAUAGGUUGAAUUUUAUUUUUAAGUUAAAAAGCUUAAAUAUUAAUAGGGGACGAGAAGACCCUGUAGAUUUUUAUAUAUUAAAAUUAUUUUAAUUAUAUGGUUUAUUUAUUAUAUUAAUUUUUGUAUAUUUUGUUGGGGUGACAUGGAUAAUAUUUAACUUUCUUGUAGUAUAACGAUUAUAUUUGGAAAUAAGAUCCUUUAUUAUGGAUUAUAGAUUAAAAUACCUUAGGGAUAACAGCGUUAUUUUAUUUGAGAGUUCUUAUUGAUAAUAAAGAUUGCGACCUCGAUGUUGGAUUAAGAUUACUAAUUAGUGUAGAAGUUAAUUAAGUUGGUCUGUUCGACCAUUAAAUUCUUACA
rnacentral:rRNA from 1 species